GAUGAACGCUAGCGGGAGGCCUAACACAUGCAAGCCGAGCGGUAUUGUUUCUUCGGAAAUGAGGGAGCGGCGUACGGGUGCGGAACACGUGUGCAACCUGCCUUUAUCUGGGGGAUAGCCUUUCGAAAGGAAGAUUAAUACUCCAUAAUAUAUUGAACGGCAUCGUUUAAUAUUGAAAGCUCCGGCGGAUAGAGAUGGGCACGCGCAAGAUUAGCUAGUUGGUGAGGUAACGGCUCACCAAGGCGAUGAUCUUUAGGGGGCCUGAGAGGGUGAUCCCCCACACUGGUACUGAGACACGGACCAGACUCCUACGGGAGGCAGCAGUGAGGAAUAUUGGUCAAUGGGUGCAAGCCUGAACCAGCCAUCCCGCGUGAAGGACGACUGCCCUAUGGGUUGUAAACUUCUUUUGUAUAGGGAUAAACCUACCCUCGUGAGGGUAGCUGAAGGUACUAUACGAAUAAGCACCGGCUAACUCCGUGCCAGCAGCCGCCGCAG
rnacentral:rRNA from 1 species